AUGUUCUGAAGCUUGAGUUUGAUGGUAUGGAUGUCCCAUGGGAUCGCAAGGAUCAAUAUCCAAAGGAAUUUAUGGCAGAGAUUGUUUUCUCGCAAGUGGAUGCUGCUACUUCGCUUGUAAUGGUUGAUUUGUCCAGUGAGGAAAAGGAAAACCGGAAAGAGAAAAGCAUGAGGAAGAUUGAACCUGAGAAACUGCCAGCUGAAGGGAAAGCGGUCACUUCUGUCAGUGACUCAGCAUCCUCAUCGGCUAUCAACAAUGGCAGUGUAGAAGCAACUGCUGCAGUUGUCUCCAACUUGGUGCAAAUCCCUGAUUUGACACUGCCAAAACAGGAAAAAAUAUACCAGCAGGACAGCUCACGAUCAUCAACCUCCAUGUCAUCCGGAUAUGACUAUGAUGUCUUCCUGAGUUUUAGGGGGCCAGAUACUCACUCAGGCAUUACAAAUUUCCUCUAUACCAGAUUGCUAGGUGCUAGAAUCCACACAUUUAAGGAUGAUGAAGAACUCCGAGUUGGAGAGGAGUUUGGUCCUGAGUUGCUCACAGCUAUCAGCCAAUCAAAAAUUGCAAUUCCCAUCUUUUCCAAGGGCUACACCUCUAGUAAAUGGUGUCUAAAUGAGUUGGUCCAAAUGGUGGAGUGUAGUAAAACAAGGAGACAGAAGAUUAUGCCCAUUUUUUAUGAUGUUACUCCGGCAGAGGUCCGACAUCAAAUUGGGUCUUAUGAAGAAGCCUUUCUUUCGCAUAAGGAGAAAUUUGGUGCGAACGUCAGUAAGUGGAAAGCUGCUCUCAACCAUGUUGCCAAUCUAAAUGGAUGGGUCAAUUCGAAGGAGAAUAGAGGUGAAGGAGAACUAGUAGAGGAGAUUGUUGAGAAGGUUAUCGAUGAGUUGAAAACGGCUUAUCUACUGGUGACAGACUGCUUAGUCGGAGUUGAAAAUCAUGUGAAGGAAAUCGAUACAAUGAUGUGUGGUGAGUCGGAGGAUAUAAGAAUUCUUGGAAUCCAUGGUAUGGGGGGUGUAGGAAAGACUACUCUUGCCAAAAUUAUCUACAACCGGCUAUUACAUCAUUUUGAAGCUUGUUGCUUCCUUUCCAACAUCAGGGAGACUUCAGAGCUAAAGGGCAUCGAAGGUUUGCAGAAUCAACUAAUCUCUGACGUUCUCAAGAAGAAAUGGGCAAACAUUAGCAAUGUUGAGGAAGGAAUCAAGAUAAUAAAAGAAAGGUUAUGUGGUAAAAAGGUUUUGUUGCUACUUGAUGAUGUUGAUCAAAUGACUCAUUGGGAUGCACUGAUUGGAAAACCUGCUUGGUUCAGUUUAGGAAGUAGAAUUAUCAUAACUAGUAGGAACAAGGAUAUUAUUGAUGUUCCCGAGGUUUGUUAUCCAUAUGAGCUUUGAGUUUGGACUUCAAUCAAUCUCUUCAACUUUUUUGCAAACAUGCUUUUGGGAGAGACUAUCCUUUGGAUGAGUAUGUUGCUUUCUCCACUGAAGUGGUCAAAAGUACAGGAGGUCUUCCACUUGCUCUUGAGGCUAUAGGUAAACUACUUUGGCGCAGAAGCAAAGAUGUUUGGGAUGUGAUAUUGAAGAAAUUGAAACAAGUUCCUCUCAGUGAAGUAAAACGAAAGUUAAAAAUAAGUUAUGAUACCUUGGAUGAUUGUCAAAAGCAUAUCUUCCUUGAAAUAGCUUGUCUUUUCACUGGAUUUGAUUACAGGAUUGUGCUCCACUCGUGGAAAGAUUCCUAUCUUUUCCCAGAGGAAGGUCUUGAAGUCCUCCAGCAAAUUUCUUUGAUAAAAAUCAGUGAAGACAAUAAGUUAUGGAUGCAUGAUCAGUUAAGAGGCCUUGGUACAGACAUUGUUCGUCGAGAAUGUGAUAAGGAACGGAAAAAAAAGACUCAGUUGGGGAACCAUCUGGAAGGUUUGGACGUGUUGAUGGAAACGAAGGGAACAAAAAAAAUUCAAGCUCUCUGUCGAAAAUUUGAUGCUCGGUCACUCUACAAUUUUGUAAAUGAAGAAGUUGAGAGGC